rnacentral:rRNA from 1 species
CCUACGGUGUGCAGCAGUGGGGAAUAUUGGACAAUGGGGGGAACCCUGAUCCAGCGACGCCGCGUGAGUGAAGAAGUAUUUCGGUAUGUUAAGCUCUAUCAGCAGGGAAGAAAGACAUGACGGUACCUGACUAAGAAGCCCCGGCUAACUACGAGCCAGGAGCCGCGGUAAUACGUAGGGUGCAAGCGUUAUCCGGAUUUACUGGGUGUAAAGGGCGCGUAGACGGAUAGGCAAGUCUGGAGUGAAAGGCGGGGGCCCAACCCCCGGAUUGCUUUGGAAACUGUAUAACUGUAGUGCAGGAGAGGUAAGUGGAAUUCCUAGUGUAGCGGUGAAAUGCGUAGAUAUUAGGAGGAACACCAGUGGCGAAGGCGGCUUACUGGACUGUAACUGACGUUGAGGCUCGAAAGCGUGGGGAGCAAACAGGAUUAGAUACCCCGGUAGUC